rnacentral:sRNA from 1 species
GAUACCAGGGUUAAAAGUUCAGAAUGUCGUUCCUGCUUGCAGGAUAAGACAUUUGAACUUGGAACCCGCCAGACAUGAGGAAGUAGCGAUUUACGGAGUAAAUCUGUGGAUUCCGAAUGGCUGUAGAAUUACGUGAGCUGUGCAACAGCGGAGUAAUUCGUAGGUAU